rnacentral:rRNA from 1 species
AUGGGGCAGUAUGUUGAUCUCAUUUCAUCUCAGGCAUUGAUUAUUUGUUGUCUUCUUUGCAUGCAUUUUAUUAAUUAUUUAUACAUACUUGUUGUAUCUUUGUAUUGUUGUGUUUGCAAAAUGUUGUAUCAUGUGUGCUCGUUUCCAUAUUGUCGUAUGUAUGUUGCUGUACAGUGCUUCAUAGCAAAAAACUUAUACUUAAUAAAGAAAGUGUUCCUUUUCUUGUUCCAUUGCUCGAUAAGCAUGAUCAUGUUUCUACUGAUUGAUUAUACAUAUGAUCUUUCUUUUGAUUAUUUUGUGGUAUUUCUGAUUGACACUAUGAGGUGCUUCCUUGUCAUGCAAAUUCAUCCUUUACUUAAAUACUGA